AUGAGCUUCUACAGCCUCCAUGAAUCUCUCCAUAAGGAGAUCGCCAAGAUUCAGUCCCGAUUCUACUGGGCUGGCGAACCGGGCAAGCAAAAGUAUCACAUGGUCAGCUGGCCGGACAUCUGCAAGCCCAGGGAGCAGGGUGGAUUAGGCAUCAUGUGCUCUAAAUGGAUGAACAUCGCCCUUCUCUCCUGUUGGCUUUGGCGUAUCGCGCAGGGUCAGGGUGGCCUCUGGCUGGACAUUAUCCGGAAUAAAUACCUGCGUGGUCAACCCCUUGCCUUCUGCCAGAAAUCGGGCGGCUCUCAGUUUUGGCAGUCUCUCGUCCAACUCCUACCGGUGCUCCGCAUUGGUACCUCUAUCUCGGUGGGGUCCGGCCUCUCGACGCUUUUCUGGUUCGACCGUUGGGCCGGAGACUCGCCCUUCGCGGCCCGCUUCCCCACCCUCUUCCCUAUCUCUGUCGACCCUAUGAUUUCUGUUGAUAGGGCCCUUAGUGACUUAGGGCGCCUUGCUUUCCGCCGUCCUUUUGGGCCGGCGGAAUCCGCCGCAUGGCGUGAGUUACUUGACUGCGUUGCUCUUCACGAGCCGUUGGUGGAUGACGACCAGGACCUUAUGCGCUGGUGGCUGGAGCCGUCUGGCCAGUUCUCCACCAAAUCGCUUUACUUGACCAUUGCUCCCUCAUCCGCCCCCCUCCCCCUGUCCCACUGA
rnacentral:rRNA from 1 species